CAAUCACAAACACAAAGUUUUAUAGUAGUUCGGAGCUAACCCUUGCUCCUACGUCCACUCCCCAAGUCUCACUUGGGAAUUUCACUAUAAUCCCUUGGAUUACAGCCGGUUGUUUUCCAAGCUCACAACCAAACUUGUUGUUUUACGAGCUCACAACGAACUCGGUCGGUUUUUUCAGGCUCACCGACUAGAACCACCCCGAUUGUUUUCCCGG
rnacentral:lncRNA from 1 species